rnacentral:miRNA from 1 species
UCGUUGUAGCCAUAAGCACG